rnacentral:sRNA from 1 species
UCAGUCCUCCCCAGCCCUCUUCAGCCCUCUUCUAUUUCUUAUGCGGCCAUCUUGGCCUCACCAUCCCCACACGUGCCGAUGUCAGGUUCAUUGAAAUACCUCAGAUUUGUAAUUGUUGAUGUUUGAGUCUUCAGGAAGUAUUUGCAUCUCUGAAAUCUUUUUUAUAUGUGUUUUGCUGACUUUUGUUUUUUUUUAUUUUAAAAUUUUUAUUGUUGUAGCACCAAAGAAAUGAAAACAGAUCACCCCCAAAGCCAAGCAAGUGAUUGGGUACCCCAGCCCCUCUGGCCCUUCCCUCAAGCCCAGUAAGGAGGCAGCUCACCUGACCACACCGUUGGAGUGAACCCUCACUGCCCUCAAGGACAACAGCAGGGUGUCACCCAGAGCCCGAUGGGGGGUGCCAGCAGGUGCCCCCAUGAGUGGGGCCUUGGCCCAAGCAGAGCUUCCCCUGAAGGUGCCAUCAGCUAGGGCAGCUCUGUCCCCUCCUGCUCCCCAUCUUAUGUGUAUUCU